rnacentral:rRNA from 1 species
UACGUAGGGUGCAAGCGUUGUCCGGAAUUAUUGGGCGUAAAGAGCUCGUAGGCGGUCUGUCACGUCGGCUGUGAAAACCCGAGGCUCAACCUCGGGCCUGCAGUCGAUACGGGCAAACUAGAGUGCUGCAGGGGAGACUGGAAUUCCUGGUGUAGCGGUGAAAUGCGCAGAUAUCAGGAGGAGCACCGGUGGCGAAGGCGGGUCUCUGGGCAACAACUGACGCUGAGGAGCGAAAGCGUGGGGAGCGAACAGG